GGGUAUAGCUCAAUUGGUAGAGCGGCGGUCUCCAAAACCGUAGGCUCUGGGUUCAAGUCCUAGUGCC
rnacentral:tRNA from 1 species